rnacentral:lncRNA from 1 species
GAAAAAAUAGACUUAUACUCGAGACCCGAUGUGAUUCAAGAACCUAAAGAAAAUGAGAACAUUAAAACAACAAUAGAGGAGCUCGAGGCUGUGGUACUAUUUGAGCAGUGGACUGUUUUCUUGGUCCCAUGCUGAUAUGACAGGGAUACCACCGGAUGUGAUGACUCACAAACUCAACGAGGACCCAUCUUUCACACCAAUAAAGCCCCUAACGAAAGGUUUAUGUAGGAGCCAACCUAAAUCCCGACAUGCGAAGUAUGUUAAUUGAGUUUUUAUAAACUAAUGUGGACUAUUUUCUUGGUUCCAUGCUGAUAUGAUAGGGAUACCACCGGAUGUUGAUGACUCACAAACUCAACGAGGACCCAUCUUUCACACCAAUAAAGCAAAAGAAAAGGAAGCAAGGA